AUUACACUACCUAAAAUUUCAAACCCAACUUAGAAACUCUCCUAUGGUCAAGCAAGGAAAAAAUGAACCAGUAAGACCAAAUAGAGAGGCGGCUCUUACACAUGGACAUACAAGUACAACAUGUAACCAGCUACUUCAUACUCAUAUAUCUAGGACUGACCCUAUUUGCAGCUCUGCAAAUGCCAAAAAUUUCAUUGCAGAAGCUACCUAAGACACCAAAAUAAAAAGAAAAUUGACCAAAAAGAUUACAUAAUAAUUGAAACUUAGAGGGCAGUCCAGUCAAUCUCCAACGAAGGGUACUUCUCCAAACUAAAAUUCUC
rnacentral:misc_RNA from 1 species